CUAUUUGUGAGUUAAAAACCAUGCUGGCAGGGAGUUUGUGGUCUCCAAGCUACUUUCAGUACAAAACCAGUUUUAAGCAAGGAGAACACAAGCUUACUACAUGGGCCAUGAUGCAUGGUAGCGUAUGUCAGCAUUUGGGCAGUUAAAUUGGGGGGGGGGGGUUCUUGUCCAUAGCUGGAGCCACACAAAAGUGUAGUAUGUGAA